CAGCGCCAGUUGCCGUUGGAGGGUCAGAAUUAGAGCAACGGUUGAUGAGCUCUCUGUUUUCUGAAACAAAGUGCUGUAUUUGUGCGCUGGCAAUACAAAUUCGUUUAAUUGUGUAGUAUUUUGCGUUGUGCUUCUUAACAAUACAACCCAGAUCAACGAAACGCGGUAAAGGGACUCCUCUCAGCGUGAACCAACCAGGGUUCUAUGACUCUGUCUAUACGUACCUCAGUGCGACCUGUUAAGUGUCAGAAAUUUGCCAUGCCUACCAAACAAAUUGUUAGCAGUUUCUUGUUGCUGAUUCAUUUCAGUCAUGGGUUUUAUAUUCCUUGGUUGGCUCCCGUUAAUUAUUGCACGAAAGAUAAACAGAGCGACACAUGCAAAAAUGAUGUAUCAGUUUUUGUUAAUCGGCUCAACUCAGAGGAAGCUAUCAUUCCUUAUGAAUACCAUCACUUUGACUUCUGCACUGACGACCAUGAAACAGGACCAGUGGAAAACUUAGGCCAAGUUGUUUUUGGAGAAAGAAUUCGAUCAAGUCCCUACAAGUUGGAGUUCAAGAACAAUCAGGAAUGGGAUUAUACCUGUAAGAAGUCAUACCAACCAGGCAACCAGGAAGAUCUAAAAAAAAUUAAAGAAUUAAUUCAUGGGAUAUCAUUAAAUUAUCAACAUCAUUGGAUUGUUGACAAUAUGCCUGUGACAUGGUGUUAUCAAGGAGAACCUGGCCAGCAGUUCUGCAGUACUGGUUUCCCAAUGGGCUGUUAUCUUCCAAAAUCAGGCAAACCCAAAGAUGCCUGUGUGAUGAAUCCUGCCUUCAACAAACCGGAUACGUAUUACAUUUUUAACCAUAUUGAUCUCACCAUUAUCUAUCACGGUGGCAAGGGAGAAACAUGGAGUACCGAGUUGGAUGACGAUAUUGGGCGAAUUCUAAGUGUGAAAGUGGGACUGCGUUCGCUUAGUGUGGAAAAGGAUCCUACGUCACCUCCUAUGAUCGUGCCUAAAGAGCUGAAGGAGCCCCUCACAAUCACGUACACCUAUUCCGUCAAGUUCAUUGAUGAUCCUUUUACCAAAUGGUCAUCUAGGUGGGAUUUUUUACUUGAAUCGAUGCCGAGUGCUCAGUGGUUUUCCAUUUUGAAUGCAUUGGUUAUUGUUCUUCUCCUGUCUGGCAUGGUGGCUAUGUUCUUACUCCGACCACUGCACAAAGAUAUUGCUCGCUAUAAUCAGAUUGAUUCUGGCAAAGAUGCACAAGAAGAAUUUGGAUGGAAAUUAGUUCAUGGUGAUAUAUUCCGCCCACCACGAAAGGGCAUGUUACUCUCAGUGUUUGUGGGAUCGGGUGUUCAGGUUUUCAUAAUGACCUUGAUCACCUUAAUUUUUGCUUGUUUGGGAUUCCUGUCACCAGCCAACCGUGGUGCAUUAAUGACAUGCGCUUUGGUUUUCUACGUGUGCUUGGGUACGCCAGCCGGAUAUGUUUCAUCCCGUAUCUACAAAUCUUUCGGUGGCGAAAGAUGGAAGUUGAACGUUCUUCUUACUUCCAUGCUAUGUCCAGGGAUUGUCUUUGGAGUCUUUUUUGUUUUGAAUUUGGUUCUUUGGAGCAAAGGUAGCUCGGGUGCUAUCUCUUUCGGCAUUUUAGCGGUAUUGUUAGCCCUAUGGUUUGGCAUCUCAGUUCCACUUACAUUCGUCGGCGCAUUUUUCGGCUUCCGCAAAAGACCCAUCGAACACCCUGUUCGGACGAAUCAGAUUCACCGACAGGUUCCUGAUCAAAGUGUUUACACACGUCCGGCUUCGGGCAUCGUCAUGGGUGGCGUUUUGCCAUUCGGUUGCAUCUUUAUCCAGCUGUUCUUUAUUCUCAACUCAUUGUGGUCCAACCAAAUGUAUUACAUGUUUGGAUUUCAUUUCUUAGUCUUCAUCAUCUUGGUGAUCACGUGUUCUGAAACGACAGUUCUACUUUGUUACUUCCAUCUGUGUGCUGAGGAUUACCACUGGUGGUGGCGCAGCUUUUUAACAAGCGGUUUUACAGCCUUUUAUUUGUUUAUGUAUUGCGUCCAUUACUUCGUCACAAAAUUAGAAAUUCAAGAUGCCACAUCCACCUUCCUUUACUUUGGAUACACCUUCAUCAUGGUUUUCUUGUUCUUUCUUCUUUCAGGGACUAUCGGUUUCUUUGCUUGCUUUUGGUUUGUCCGCAAAAUUUAUUCAGUGGUUAAAGUGGUUUAGUGUUUUGUUACGUGAAUGCUGGCCAUUCUUAGCAAGCAAGCAUAAAUAAAGCUCAUGCACACCAGUAUUCAUUAUCUUCAUGAUGAUUUGAUGACUUGUAAUAAGAGAAAUAUUAUAAUACAUGUAAAAUUUUGUAUUUGUUAAA